UACGUAGGGUGCAAGCGUUGUCCGGAAUUAUUGGGCGUAAAGAGCUCGUAGGCGGUCUGUCGCGUCGGCUGUGAAAACCCGGAGCUCAACUCCGGGCCUGCAGUCGAUACGGGCAGACUGAAGUUCGGCAGGGGAGACUGGAAUUCCUGGUGUAGCGGUGAAAUGCGCAGAUAUCAGGAGGAACACCGGUGGCGAAGGCGGGUCUCUGGGCCGAUACUGACGCUGAGGAGCGAAAGCGUGGGGAGCGAACAGG
rnacentral:rRNA from 1 species